rnacentral:rRNA from 1 species
AUUGAACGCUGGCGGCAUGCCUUACACAUGCAAGUCGAACGGUAACAGGGAGCUUGCUCCGCUGACGAGUGGCGAACGGGUGAGUAAUAUAUCGGAACGUGCCCUAGAGUGGGGGAUAACUAGUCGAAAGAUUAGCUAAUACCGCAUACGAUCUAAGGAUGAAAGUGGGGGAUCGCAAGACCUCAUGCUCGUGGAGCGGCCGAUAUCUGAUUAGCUAGUUGGUAGGUAAAGCCUACCAAGGCAUCGAUCAGUAGCUGGUCUGAGAGGACGACCAGCCACACUGGGACUGAGACACGGCCAGACUCCUACGGGAGGCAGCAGUGGGGAAUUUUGGACAAUGGGCGCAAGCCUGAUCCAGCAAUGCCGCGUGAGUGAAGAAGGCCUUACGGGUU